CUUUACCAGACUACCCUUCAAUAUGCGGGGCAGGUGAUACUGUAACUUCCCCUCUUCCAUCUACAGAGCAAUACCAAUGCCUAACCACCAAAACCAAGAAAGUUGUGACGAUUUGCUACGAGGUAGGCGAAAACCAAGUGGCUGGUGCCGAUUUGCCAAGUGGAAAAAUUCCUACCAGGCCCCUCAACGUCCAAAGCAAGGUCAAAGAAGGAAAACCUUAUAGGGUGGGAGGGUGGGAAAAGCAGGAACAGCUGGAAAGAGGCAAAGAGGGAGAUCCCUGGCCGCGUCCUGCCUUAAAUAGGGCAGGCCACACCCUCAGAGUCAGCCGAUUGGCUGGCCAGGAGGUGACACGGCCGGGAAUCCCCCCCCGUUGCGCGGGGGCUGGGUUCCAGCCGCAGCGCGUGUGGUGGGGCUGUGAAGACCACAACUCCACCUCCUCCGAAGGGCAGAAGUGGCUUUAACUGAGCCCCAUAUAGGUCCACCUCUAGCUGUCAACUUACAUAUUUGAAAAUAAGGGACCAGCAGUCUCGAAAAUAAGGAAUCAGCAGCCAAAAUCAGGGAUUUUAGUCAACCAGCAGCCAAACGAAGCCUCAAGUGGUAGUUCCCAUAGCGCAGCAACCCAGCAAAGGGGAUGCAGCAAGGAAAACCACUGUCACCUCUCCGCUGGGAAGCGCUGAGCAAAGGCGAGUCCCCAGGCAACGCGGCCGAUUUGAUCGGCACAAGGCAUGCAAGCUCCACCCCCCAGUCGUUCUUAGACUCCUUAUUGGGUGAGCAACACAGCCAAGCAACACAGUUGGAGCCUCCCUCCUCCCUGGCCGGCAGGGAGGGAGGGAGAGGAGCUGCUUCCUUUGAAACCCGGGAAAUUUAAGGGACAUCAUCAAUAAGGGACAGCAGCGGGACAUGGCACUGGGAUAAGGGACUGUCCUGCCAAAUAUGGGAUGCUUGACAGCUAUGCCUCUCGGGCUGGAUGGGGUGGAUGGACACUGUCUGGCGGGUGAGUUUUGGGGAAGGACUUUGGUGCAGAGACAGAGUAUUUGCUUUCAUUGCCGAAAGCCCCCGAUUCAACAACACCCAGCCAGACCAUGUAGCCCAAUAGUGCAUACACUGACUGACAGCGGGAAACCUACCACAGAACCAAGGUCCUUCACCAAAACUCACCCACUAGACAGUGACUGUUAUCAAGGUUGGCCCAGCUGUUAGAUGGGGUGAGGCUGCUGCCUCAGGUGGCAGAAGCCCCUGUGACAGUAUCCCCUGCCACCAGCACCAAUUUGGGGUGAGAUCUCACCGAUUUGGGGCAACCUCACAUGGUUUCUUGCCCAGAAUCGACAAGCUGUCACCUGAAACCGCGUUAACUUGAGGUGGUAACCUCAAGUGGCCAAACAGGAUGUGCCACCCCAGCUAUUAUUGCUGCUAUUAUUAUUAGGAAGUUAAUUUAUUAGUUGCCUUCUGAGCUGCUGUCUCAAGGUGAAAAUAGUUAAAGACAGUCAAAGAAAAAAAAACAGCAACUACAUUUAGAACAAGACCAAACAAGCUUAUUCGGAAAUGAUUUAGAAUGAGUUAAAAAAAUGUUUAAAAUAACUUUUGUUAAAAAACCAAAAGCCUUUUUAUUAGGAAUUAUAGGUGCGGAGAUAGCAAAGGAGCAAAAAACACUUUUCAUGUAUGCAGCGAUGGCGUAGCCCAGAGAUGGAAGGAAGACAAGAUUCCUACAAGAGUGGACAAUAAAAUUGAUGGACUAUGCUGAGAUGGCCAAAUUGAAUGGAAAAAACAGGAACUAGGGUGAGAAAAACUUCAAAAAGGACUGGGGAAAAUUUGAACUUAUUUGAGAGAACACUGUAAGCGGCUUAACACAUUGGCAGGAAUACAAUAACUCUUGCAAUGUGAAAUGAACUAUGGAUAGUUUUAUGGACAACUAGAGAACGUUAUGAUAUGCGGUGAAAAAGGAUUAUCAAUGGACUCCACAGAGGGGAG
rnacentral:lncRNA from 1 species